CCCUUAGAUGUUCUGGGCCGCACGCGCGCUACACUGAUGAAUGCAACGAGCUUAUAACCUUGGCCGAAAGGUCUGGGUAAUCUCCAAAUUUCGUCGUGAUGGGGAUAGAUUAUUGCAAUUACUAAUCUUCAACGAGGAAUGCCUAGUAAGCGCAAGUCAUCAGCUUGCGUUGAUUACGCCCCUGCCCUUUGUACACACCGCCCGUCGCUCCUACCGAUUGAAUGGUCCGGUGAAGCGUUCGGACCGUGGCCUUUGGACGGUUCGCCGUCUGUUGGCUGCGGGAAGUUCGUUAAACCUUAUCAUUUAGAGGAAGGAGAAGUCGUAACA
rnacentral:rRNA from 1 species